UGAAUACGAGACGCUACGGCGUCGAAGCAGUCUAUGUCAUACUUCCAAGAAAAGCUCGCAAUGUCAUAAACAAAUAAUGCCUGUACCAUAACCGACACAGGUGGGUAGGUAGAGUAUACUAAGGGGCGCGAGAUAACUCUCUCUAAGGAACUCGGCAAAAUGACUCCGUAACUUCGGGAGAAGGAGUGCCUUAUUUAUAAGGUUGCAAUAACAAGAUCCAAGCAACUGUUUAUCAAAAACACAGGUCUCCGCUAAGUCGUAAGACGAUGUAUGGGGGCUGACGCCUGCCCAGUGCCAGAAGGUUAAAGAAGUUGGUUAGCAUUCGCGAAGCUGAUAACUGAAGCCCUGGUGAACGGCGGCCGUAACUAUAACGGUCCUAAGGCGAAAUUCCUUGUCGGGUAAGUUCCGACCCGCACGAAAGGCGUAACGAUUUGGAUACUGUCUCGGAGAGGGGCUCGGUGAAAUAGACUUGUCUGUGAAGAUGCGGACUACCUGCACCUGGACAGAAAGACCCUAUGAAGCUUUACUGUAACUUGAAAUUGAAAUUGGACUUUAUUUGCGCAACAUAGGUGGGAGGCGUUGAGAGUAUUCUUGCGGGAAUAUUGGAGCCAUCAGUGAGAUACCACUCUUGUAAUGUUAGAUUUCUAACUUUGUAUCAUUAUCUGGUCAAAGAACAGUUUCAGGCGGGCAGUUUGACUGGGGCGGUCGCCUCCCAAACGGUAACGGAGGCGUACAAAGGUUUCCUCUGAACGGGUAGAAAUCGUAUCUAGAGUGUAAAGGCAUAAGGAAGCUUGACUGUGAGACCUACAAGUCGAGCAGGGACGAAAGUCGGUCUUAGUGAUCUGACGGUGCUGAGUGGAAAGGCCGUCACUCAACGGAUAAAAGUUACUCUAGGAUAACAGGCUGAUCUCCCCCAAGAGUUCACAUCGACGGGGAGGUUUGGCACCUCGAUGUCGGCUCAUCGCAUCCUGGGGCGGUAGUACGUCCCAAGGGUUGGGCUGUUCGCCCAUGAAAGCGGUACGCGAGCUGGGUUCAGAACGUCGUGAGACAGUUCGGUCCAUAUCCGGUGUAGGCGUUAGAAUAUUGAGAGGAGCCUUCUUUAGUACGAGAGGACCGAGAAGGACAUACCUCUGGUGUACCAGUUAUCGUGCCAACGGUAAACGCUGGGUAGCUAUGUAUGGAGAGGAUAACCGCUGAAAGCAUCUAAGUGGGAAGCCCACCUCAAGAUAAGUAUUCUCC
rnacentral:rRNA from 1 species